rnacentral:rRNA from 1 species
ACACGUAUGGGGCGAGCGUUGUUCGGAAUUAUUGGGCGUAAAGGGCGUGCAGGCGGACCGACAAGUCUGGUGUGAAAGACCGCAGCUUAACUGCGGGAGCGCGCUGGAAACUGUCGGACUAGAGUACCGGAGGGGAAGCUGGAAUUCCUGGUGUAGGGGUGAAAUCUGCAGAUAUCAGGAAGAACAUCGGUGGCGAAGGCGAGCUUCUGGCCGUGUACUGACGCUGAGGCGCGAAAGCGUGGGGAGCGAACAGGAUUAGAUACCCUGGUAGUCCACGCUGUAAACGAUGUGCACUAGGCGUUGGGUUGUUAAGACUCAGUGCCGGAGCUAACGCGGUAAGUGCACCGCCUGGGGAGUAUGCCCGCAAGGGUGAA